UACGGAGGGUCCAAGCGUUAUCCGGAAUCAUUGGGUUUAAAGGGUCCGUAGGCGGUUUUGUAAGUCAGUGGUGAAAGCCCAUCGCUCAACGGUGGAACGGCCAUUGAUACUGCAAGACUUGAAUUAUUAGGAAGUAACUAGAAUAUGUAGUGUAGCGGUGAAAUGCUUAGAGAUUACAUGGAAUACCAAUUGCGAAGGCAGGUUACUACUAAUGGAUUGACGCUGAUGGACGAAAGCGUGGGGAGCGAACAGG
rnacentral:rRNA from 1 species